rnacentral:rRNA from 1 species
GACUCUGCUCCAAAGUACAACGAGGCCCGAGAAACCUCGUUGGAAGCCGGCACGACGAUGUGCCAAGACUAAAUACUCUUCCUGACCGAUAGUGAACAAGUACAGUGAUGGAAAGCUGAAAAGCAGCCCGAGAGGGCGAUGAAAUAGUAUCUGAAACCGUAUGCUUAUAAGGAGUUGGAGCGGGCGCAAGUCCGUCACAGCGUUCCUAUUGAAGAAUGAGCCGACGAGUGUAUAUGUGUCGCAGGUUAAUUCCUUGCGAGGAAGAAGCCACAGUGAAAGCGAGCCUGAAUAGGGCGUUUGUGGCACGUAUAUGACCCGAAACCCGGUGAGCUAGCCAUGACCAGGAUGAAGUCCCACGAAAGUGGGAUGGAGGUCCGAACCCACGAGCCGUUCAACACUCGGGGAUGAGUUGUGGCUAGAGGUGAAAUUCCAAUCGAACUGGGUGAUAGCUGGUUCUCCCUGAAAUAUAUUUUGGUAUAGCGCUUGUUUCAUAGCUUGGCGGAGGUAGAGCACUGAAUGGGAACAGGGGCGCAAGCCUACUGUUGCCAACCAAACUCCGAAUGCCGUCAAGUGUUCACAGCAGUCAGUCUCUGGGGGCUAAGCUCCAGUAGACAAGAGGGAAACAGCCCAGACCGCAGUCUAAGGUCCCUAAAUUCGUACUAAGUGUCAAAGGUGGUCAGAUGACUUAUACAACCAGGAGGUUGGCUUAGAAGCAGCCAUCCUUUAAAGAAAGCGUAACAGCUCACUGGUCAAGUUGUCCGGCGCCGAAAACUUAUCGGGGCUCAAGUACGAUACCGAAGUCGCGGACUACGUUUCAUCUUCGGAUGAGAGUAGUGGUAAGGGAGCAUUCUGAUCAGCACUGAAGCGGAAGGCGUGAGCCACCGUGGAGCGUUCAGAAGUGAGAAUGUCGGUAUAAGUAGCAAAAAAACAGGUGAGAAUCCUGUUCAUCGUAAACCCAAGGUUUCCAGGGCAACGCGAAUCGUCCCUGGGUUAGUCGGUCCUAAGGCGAGGCCGAAAGGCGUAGCUGAUGGACAGCAGGUUAAUAUUCCUGCACUUGCUUAGUGUUUCAAUGGAGUGACGCAUCGUCUUAUUUAUCGAGAUUCUUGGAUUGAGUCUUUGGGCGUUUGGGGGUGACUGAUAGGCAAAUCCGUCAGUCAUAAGCCUCUGGAUGAGCGCAAGUCUGCCGUGAGGUAGGCAAGGAUAGAGUCGGUGGUGCCGAGAAAAACUUCUAGAGCUAACGUUAAGCAAACCGUACCGUAAACCGACACAGGUGGGUGAGCAUAAGUGUGCUAAGAUGUACGAGAGAACCCACGUUUAGGAACUCGGCAAUACAACGGCCGUAACUUAGGGAUAAGGCCUGCCCGUAGCAAUACGGGCCGCAGCGAAAGACGCUUACCGACUGUUUACCAAAAACACAGCUUCCUGCAAAGCCGCAAGGCGAAGUAUAGGAAGUGAUGCCUGGCCAGUGUCAGAACGUUAAGGGGAGAGGUCAUGGGGCAACCCGGCAGCCUUGAGCCGAAGCGCUGAUGAACGCCGGCGAUAACUAUAAUCGUCCUAAGGUAGCGAAAUUCCUUGUCGGGUGAGUUCCGACCCGCACGAAUGGCAUAACGAGUGAGCGACUGUCUCAACGUGGGACUCGGCGAAAUUGCAAGUGGGGUGAAGAUGCCCUGUACGCGCAGUCAGACGAAAAGACCCCGUGAAGCUUUACUACAAUUUGAUAUUGGGUACCGGGUUAGCAUGUUCAGUGUAGGUGGGAGCCGCAAGGCGCCAAUGAGACACCACCCUUGCUCUCUCGGUAUUCUUAUCCUGGCCCAUAUAUCUGGGUUAGGAGACAGUAUCUGAUGGGUAGUUUAACUGGGGCGGUUGCCUCCUAAAUGGUAACGGAGGCGUUUACAAAGGUCAGCUAGGUGCGGAUGGAAAUCGCACUGAUCCUGCAAUGGGAUAAGCUGGCUUAACUGCAAGACCAACAAGUCGAGCAGAUGCGAAAGCAGAACAUAGUGAUCCGACCGUACGAUAUCGGACGGCGGAAGCUCAACGGAUAAAAGCUACUCCGGGGAUAACAGGCUGAUCUGGUCCGAGCGUCCACAGCGACGACCAGGUUUGGCACCUCGAUGUCGGCCCAUCGCAUCCUGGGGCUGGAGAAGGUCCCAAGGGUUAGGCUGUUCGCCUAUUAAAGCGGUACGCGAGCUGGGUUCAGAACGUCGUGAGACAGUUCGGUCUCCUGUCUACUGCGCGCGUGGAACAUUGCGAGAACAAUUCCUUAGUACGAGAGGACCGGGAAUUACGAACCUCUAGUGUGCCUGCUGUUCUACCAAGAGCAUCGCAGGGUAGCUACGUUCGGCACGGAUAAACGCUGAAAGCAUCUAAGCGUGAAGCCGUUCUCAAGAUUAAUGUUCGUCAUAGGACCCUCCGAGACGAGGAGGUUGAUAGGUGGUAGGUGUACAAGUCGCGAGACUUUGAGCCGAGCCAUACUAAUAGUCCAAUGCUUCGGCCUU